rnacentral:rRNA from 1 species
AGUGAACGCUGGCGGCAGGCCUAACACAUGCAAGUCGAACGGCAGCGGGUCCUUCGGGAUGCCGGCGAGUGGCGGACGGGUGAGGAAUACAUGGGAAUCUGCCCAGUCGUGGGGGAUAACGUAGGGAAACUUACGCUAAUACCGCAUGCGACCUUAGGGUGAAAGCGGCGGACCGCAAGGCGUCGCGCGAUUGGAUGAGCCCAUGUCGGAUUAGCUAGUUGGCGGGGUAAAGGCCCACCAAGGCGACGAUCCGUAGCUGGUCUGAGAGGAUGAUCAGCCACACUGGAACUGAGACACGGUCCAGACUCCUACGGGAGGCAGCAGUGGGGAAUAUUGGACAAUGGGCGCAAGCCUGAUCCAGCCAUGCCGCGUGAGUGAAGAAGGCCUUCGGGUUGUAAAGCUCUUUUGUCCGGAAAGAAAAGCUCUCGGUUAAUACCCGGGGGUUCUGACGGUACCGGAAGAAUAAGCACCGGCUAACUUCGUGCCAGCCGCCGCCGUAAGAC